CGUUUUCUGCGGUGUGCGCCAGCACACUCUUACAUUUGCCUUGUUCCUAUAUACGACCCGGGACGGUUACUUAAGGUUGUUGUGCAUGUCCGCCGCGUGCGGAAAGCCUUUAGGCCUUAAUUUCCCUCCCACCUGAUCCCGCUUGGAUCAAGGUCGUUUGGUGGGCAGCGGCAUCGCGGUUGACGC
rnacentral:other from 1 species